ACGACUCCACGUCUGUGCCAGCAGCCGCGGUAAACACCGGCGGCCCGAGUGGUAGCCGCUAUUAAUUGGGGUCUAAAGGGUCCGUAGCCGGUUCGAAUAAAGGUCCUCUGGGAAAUCUGGUUGCUUAACAAUCAGACUGCCAAGGGAUACUGGUCGAACUUGGAGACCGGGAGAGGUAAGAGGUACUUCAGGGGUAGGAGUGGAAAUCUUGUAAUCCCCUGGGGGGACCAUCUGUGGCGAAGGCGUCUUACCAGAACGGGUCUGACCGGUGAGGGACGAAAGCUGGGGGCGCAAACCGGAUUAGAUACCCGGGUAGUCCCAGCCGUAAACGAUGCUCGCUAUGUGUCAGGUACGGUGUGACCGUAUCUGGUGCCGUAGGGAAGCCGUGAAGCGAGCCACCUGGGAAGUACGGCCGCAAGGCUGAAACUUAAAGGAAUUGGCGGGGGAGCACUACAACGGGUGGAGCCUGCGGUUUAAUUGGAUUCAACGCCGGAAAUCUUACCGGGGGAGACAGCAGCAUGAAGGUCAGGCUGAAGACCUUACCAGAUCCGCUGAGAGGAAGUGCAUGGCCGUCGUCAGUUCGUACUGUGAAGCAUCCUGUUAAGUCAGGCAACGAGCGAGACCCGUGCCCACAGUUGCCAGCAUGCCCUUCGGGGCGAUGGGUACUUUGUGGGGACCGCCGCUGCUAAAGCGGAGGAAGGAGCGGGUUACGGUAGGUCAGUAUGCUCCGAAACUCCCGGGCUACACGCGGGCUACAAUGGUUGGGACAAUGGGAAUCAACACCGAAAGGUGAAGGCAAUCUCCUAAACCCAAUCGAAGUUCGGAUUGAGGGCUGCAACUCGCCCUCAUGAAGCUGGAAUCCGUAGUAAUCGCGUUUCAACACAGCGCGGUGAAUACGUCCCUGCUCC
rnacentral:rRNA from 1 species